AGCCGCGCGCAAGUUAUCCCCCACGCGCCUCCUUCCAGAGGACGCCUCCGACACGACCACGUCUUCCAUUUCGAGCUGUCUCCGCCGCUCUGCAGCCACACGCGCCUCUUCUCCCCAUCGAUGCAACCUCCCCGGCGGGCGACAAGGGCGGCGGCGGGGGCCACCGGUGCUCGCCAUCGCGACGCGGAGGAGCAGGGGAGCGCGCCUCGCACCCGCGCUCAACUCGUGCGGGACUCACUAACCGCGUGGUGAUCCUGCUCCCCACCGGCCGCGAGGAGCUCGCGGUCCACUCCGGCGCCGCCGUGGACCCAAUCGCCCCCAAUCCCACCCAAUCCUUGGCCCGAGCCGAGAUCUAGGGGCCAAUCGCACUGCCGCGGAUCGAGGGGAUGACACCGCAGAUGACCGGCGCACCCAGCUCGGCAGCAGCGGACGGCGGCGCAGCGGCUGCCAAGCUGCAGUUCCACCACUACCACCACCACCGCGUGCCCCCUGAGCCACCACCAUCCCAUGCCGGCCUCGCUCCUCUCCAAGCUCGCCUUCUGGAGCCAAGGUGCAGCUCGACGUCGACGAUGCUAUAGAUGAUGUUGGAGGAGGCGGUGCACAUUGGGUUCUUGUGGAGGCGGCAGCCGCGGUGGAUGAGAUCCAUGCGGCAAGGGUGGUUGGCUGCAGCUUCCUCAGCCGAGGAAAGGCGUCCAUAGGUGGAGGAGAAAGCACACAAGCUCGCCAUGGCAGCGUUUGCUUUUUUUUUAAUGUUGCAUAAACAGCUUUUUUAUGUUGCCUCGGGUGAUUUAUGAUGUUUGAAAAAAAUCCCAUCCUGCAAUCUAUAAAUUUUGAUGUUGCACCAACUAAGUUUGGAUGUUGGUAUUAUUCUUUUUCAAUGUUGCACUAAGUGAGUAUGCAUGUUCAGAUUAUAGUAC